CCCUUAGAUGUCCGGGGCCGCACGCGCGCUACACUGACGAAUGCAACGAGCUUAUAACCUUGGCCGAAAGGUCUGGGUAAUCUCCAAAUUUCGUCGUGAUGGGGAUAGAUUAUUGCAAUUAUUAAUCUUCAACGAGGAAUGCCUAGUAAGCGCAAGUCAUCAGCUUGCGUUGAUUACGUCCCUGCCCUUUGUACACACCGCCCGUCGCUCCUACCGAUUGAAUGGUCCGGUGAAGCGCUCGGACCGCGGCCUCUUGACGGUUUUCCGUCGAUUGGCUGUGGGAAGUUCGUUAAACCUUAUCAUUUAGAGGAAGGAGAAGUCGUAACA
rnacentral:rRNA from 1 species